CCUACGGGAGGCAGCAGUGAGGAAUAUUGGUCAAUGGGCGAGAGCCUGAACCAGCCAAGUCGCGUGAAGGAUGACGGCCCUACGGGUUGUAAACUUCUUUUGUCAGGGAGCAAUUGGGUCCACGCGUGGGCUUAGCGAGAGUACCUGAAGAAAAAGCAUCGGCUAACUCCGUGCCAGCAGCCGCGGUAAUACGGAGGAUGCGAGCGUUAUCCGGAUUUAUUGGGUUUAAAGGGAGCGUAGACGGUUAAGUAAGUCUGGAGUGAAAGUCCGGGGCUCAACCCCGGGACUGCUCUGGAAACUAUUUAACUUGAGUGCAGGAGAGGUAAGCGGAAUUCCUAGUGUAGCGGUGAAAUGCGUAGAUAUUAGGAGGAACACCAGUGGCGAAGGCGGCUUACUGGACUGUAACUGACGUUGAGGCUCGAAAGCGUGGGGAGCAAACAGGAUUAGAUACCCCUGUAGUC
rnacentral:rRNA from 1 species